UCUUGUUAAAACAAGACAAGAUGCUACCCAAUUAGGCAACCGACUGAGACAACUAAAACAUCUCCAUCUGUCCCAUCAAAAAAAAAAAAAAAAAAUCUCCAUCUGAACUGCCAAUCUCUGUGACAAAAACCUUGUGAUGGAUUUACUCAUUUUAUGCCGACCAAAAAUCCAAAUUUCGUAGAAACUAUGAAAACCCAGUUCCCGUUUGAGUCCUAGAAAUACCAUUUCCUGAGAAAGACUUUUUUUUUUUUUUCUCUUUGAGAGUUCUCCAAUCUCUGCACCUGUACUUCUAAUUCAGAAACACACACAUAGAGAUGGAGGGAGUGAAGCUGGACAUGUGGGGGUACGAGGUUAGGACAUCUUCGGAUUCUUGUAUCUCUGCCAUCAACUCCUACUAUCACCAGGUGCUUAGUUAUGGGAGAGAGCGAUCAGUGAUUCUAGAAGCGCUGGUCCAUGACAAGGACUGUGUGUUGGCCAAUAUUUUGGCUGCUAGUUUCCUAUGCUCCUCUGAUCCUUCACGAGCUCCUUCUCAUAUCCAAGCCGCUAAGUCCCUCCUUGAGCAAGCGACCAAGUACGAGAAAGCUGUUUUUGAUGCUGUUAUUUAUUUGAUAUCUCAAGACAGAGAUGAUGAUGUCGCUGUCGAAUUAUAUUUUAAGCUCUUAAAAGAUUUCCCAAGAGAUCUAGUAUCCCUGAAGAGGGCCCAAGGGCUAUGCUUUUACAUGGCUCGAGCUGAUCUGUCCUUGGAUCUUGUUCAACAGGUUCUACCCAUAAAUCAAGAAGAGAAUUACAUAUAUGGCAUGCUUGCUUUUCCUUUGCUGGAGCUUGGCAAAAUGGCAGAUGCUGAGAAAGCUGCAAAAAAGGGAUUCGAGAUCAACAAGCAAGACUAUUGGGCACAACAUGCUUUGUGCCAUGUUCUACAGUAUGAGUGCCACUUUAAGGAAGCGGUGGAGUUCAUGGAAGGAUGCUCAUCUUCUUGGAGUUCUUGUGGAUCAUUUAUGCUGACACACAAUUGGUGGCAUGUAGCUCUUUGUUACUUGGAAGGUAGUUCUCCAAUUCAGAGAGUCUUAGAAAUAUAUGAUCAUUGUAUUUUGAAGGAGUUGGAAAGAAGUGAUGCUGCAUGUCCAGAGGUGUACUUAAAUGCCGUUGGUUUAUUAUUGCGGUUGUAUGUACGUGGCGAAAUUGAUGCUGCUGAUGACCGACUCAAGAUCUUAGCAGGUUGCCUAACAGAUGAAGUGAAUUGGUACAUAGAGUGGCACUUUGAUUGCUUGAUAUUAUGGGCCUUGGCUAGUACCGGAGAGCUGUCCAAAGCAGAGGAUUUACUAAAGGGAUUGAAAUCCAGAUUUUCUAGGAUGAGCAAGAAGAAGCAACAGAAAAUGCACAGAGGAAUGCUGCUUGCAGAAGCCUUAUAUGAGUAUGGGAGGGGAAAUGACAAAGAAGCAUUGCAAUUGCUUGGUCCAGAUUUUGAUGCCAAUAACUGCAAGGUGAUCGGUGCAUCUGAUGAACAAGUUGAUGUAUUCAAUGAAAUCUGGUACAGUAUGUUGCUUAAUACUGGACAAGCUGUGGAGGCAAUUGAAGUAAUUGAGAAGCAGAUCAAGAAGCGAGAAGGAGUCCCUUUCUUGUGGCGACUUUUGGAAAGAGCUUAUAACCUCGCAGGAAAAAAGGAAGCCGCAAUCAUAGGGGAGAAGGCCAGGGCUUUGGAGACUGCAUAUUUCAAAUAGCCAGUAUGACCACAAGUUACAGCCAGAUAUGUUAUUUUCUCAUCUUUGGUCUCAGCGGUUCAAGAUAUUUGAGUAGCUAAUCACACAAAUACCCUGCAGUAUAUUUCGCACACUAUGUAAGUUGCACUUAAUUGUGCUUCUUCAAACGUGUGCUAAUAAAAAGCUUUGGGUGCACGUGGAUUGGCAUUAAGGAAAAAUGAGAGGAAAGAGAAGAAGGGGAAGUCAAGAACCCUACUAAGUGACAUUGCAUUUUAAUCUGCUUUUGACCUUAAGCCAUUCAAGUUAAAGGGGAAGGUGUAGAAAAUAUUGGCUUGUUGAAAUCAAGAUAUAGGCCACAAUUGAAUAAAGCACUAGUGGAGUGUUUGGAUGGAUGUGAUCAAGUGAUGAUAGCAUGUAGUCAAACGCAGCUUUGGAAAAAGAAGACAAAAAUUAUUGCAUGUUCGAUCUCAGGCGCAAUAGCCUUUUGUUUCGAGGGACUAAGUCUUAUUAAAAGUCAUCUCACUAGCAGGCUAGCAGCAUAUGGGGUGACUUGGGUUGUGCACAUACGAAUCAGUCUUUUUGUUAGAAUUUUCUUCCAAACAAGUCUAGUCACACAAAAAUUCAUAAACAAGUAUAAUGACAACAAAUUUCACA